rnacentral:rRNA from 1 species
ACGCGAAGAACCUUACCUACCCUUGACAUGCCAGGAACUUUCCAGAGAUGGAUUGGUGCUCGAAAGAGAACCUGGACACAGGUGCUGCAUGGCUGUCGUCAGCUCGUGUCGUGAGAUGUUGGGUUAAGUCCCGCAACGAGCGCAACCCUUGUUGUUAAUUGCCAUCAUUCAGUUGGGCACUUUAAUGAGACUGCCGGUGAUAAACCGGAGGAAGGUGGGGAUGACGUCAAGUCCUCAUGGCCCUUAUGGGUAGGGCUUCACACGUAAUACAAUGGCGCGUACAAAGGGUUGCCAACCCGCGAGGGGGAGCUAAUCUCAGAAAGCGCGUCGUAGUCCGGAUCGGAGUCUGCAACUCGACUCCGUGAAGUCGGAAUCGCUAGUAAUCGCGGAUCAAGCAUGUCGCGGUGAAUACGUUCCCGGGUCUUGUACACACCGCCCGUCACACCAUGGGAGUGGUUUCACCAGAAGCAGGUAGUCUAACCGCAAGGAGGGCGCUUGCCACGGGUGAGGUUCAUGACUGGGGUGAAGUCGUAACAAGGUAGCCGUAGGGGAACCUGCGGCUGGAUCACCUCCUU